rnacentral:rRNA from 1 species
UACGAAGGGGGCUAGCGUUGUUCGGAAUUACUGGGCGUAAAGCGCGCGCAGGCGGUCCUUCAAGUCAGGGGUGAAAGCCCAGAGCUCAACUCUGGAAUUGCCUUUGAAACUGAAGGACUAGGGUACGGGAGAGGUGAGUGGAAUUCCGAGUGUAGAGGUGAAAUUCGUAGAUAUUCGGAAGAACACCAGUGGCGAAGGCGGCUCACUGGCCCGAUACUGACGCUGAGGCACGAAAGCGUGGGGAGCAAACAGG